UACGUAGGGUGCAAGCGUUAAUCGGAAUUACUGGGCGUAAAGCGCGCGCAGGCGGUCUUCCAAGUCAGUGGUGAAAGCCCGGAGCUCAACUCCGGAACUGCCAUUGAAACUGUGAGACUUGAGGAUGAGAGAGGUGAGUGGAAUUCCCAGUGUAGAGGUGAAAUUCGUAGAUAUUGGGAAGAACACCGGUGGCGAAGGCGGCUCACUGGCUCAUAUCUGACGCUCAGGCGCGACAGCGUGGGGAUCAAACAGG
rnacentral:rRNA from 1 species